rnacentral:rRNA from 1 species
CAGCCGCCGCGGGAAUACGGAGGGCGCGAGCGUUACCCGGAUUUACUGGGCGUAAAGGGCGUGUAGGCGGCCUGGGGCGUCCCAUGUGAAAGGCCACGGCUCAACCGUGGAGGAGCGUGGGAUACGCUCAGGCUAGAGUGUGUCAGAGGAUGGUGGAAUUCCCGGUGUAGCGGUGAAAUGCGUAGAGAUCGGGAGGGACAUCAGUGGCGAAGGCAGCCCCCUGGGCCAAUACUGACGCUCAUGCACGAAAGCGUGGGGAGCAAACAGGAUUAGAUACCCCCGUAGUCCCUGUCUCUUAUAC